GACGAACGCUGGCGGCGUGCUUAACACAUGCAAGUCGAACGGAAAGGCCCUGCUUUUGUGGGGUGCUCGAGUGGCGAACGGGUGAGUAACACGUGAGUAACCUGCCCUUGACUUUGGGGUAACUUCAGGAAACUGGGGCUAAUACCGGAUAGGAGCUCCUGCUGCAUGGUGGGGGUUGGAAAGUUUCGGCGGUUGGGGAUGGACUCGCGGCUUAUCAGCUUGUUGGUGGGGUAGUGGCUUACCAAGGCUUUGACGGGUAGCCGGCCUGAGAGGGUGACCGGCCACAUUGGGACUGAGAGACGGCCCAGACUCCUACGGGCGGCAGCAGUGGGGAAUAUUGCACAAUGGGCGGAAGCCUGAUGCAGCAACGCCGCGUGAGGGAUGACGGCCUUCGGGUUGUAAACCGCUUUCGCCUGUGACGAAGCGUGAGUGACGGUAAUGGGUAAAGAAGCACCGGCUAACUACGUG
rnacentral:rRNA from 1 species